ACGCGUAAUGAAAGUGAACGGAGGUGAGAGCUUCGGCGCAUCAUCGACCGAUCCUGAUGUUCUCGGAUGGAUUUGAGUAUGAGCAUAUUGGGCCGGACCCGAAAGAAGGUGAACUAUGCCUGUAUAGGGUAAAGCCAGAGGAAACUCUGGUGGAGGCUCGCAGCGGUUCUGACGUGCAAAUCGAUCGUCAAAUAUGGGCAUGGGGGCGAAAGACUAAUCGAACCUUCUAGUAGCUGGUUUCCGCCGAAGUUUCCCUCAGGAUAGCAGUGUUGAAUUCUCAGUUUUAUGAGGUAAAGCGAAUGAUUAGGGACUCGGGGGCGCUAUUAAGCCUUCAUCCAUUCUCAAACUUUAAAUAUG
rnacentral:rRNA from 1 species